rnacentral:misc_RNA from 1 species
UCACUGCUUGCGCAGGCAGUCUCGCUAGAGUCCCCGGCAUAACCCGCUGGUAACUAGCAAUAGGGGUUGCGUUCGUUGCGGGACUUAACCCAACAUCUCACGACACGAACUGACGACAGCCAUGCAGCACCUGUCACCUGGUUCCCGAAGGCACACCCGUAUCUCUACGGCUUUUCCCCACAUGUCAAGCCUUGGUAAGGUUCUUCGCGUUGCAUCGAAUUAAGCAACAUGCUCCGCCGCUUGUGCGGGCCCCCGUCAAUUCCUUUGAGUUUUAGCCUUGCGGCCGUACUUCCCAGGCGGGGCACUUAAUGCGUUAGCUACGGCACGGAACCCGUCGAUCGAGCCCCACACCUAGUGCCCAACGUUUACGGCGUGGACUAC